GAAACACGGACCAAGGAGUCUAGCAUGCACGCGAGUCAUUGGGAACGAAUAAACCCAGAGGCGAAAUGAAAGUGAACAGCGUCGCUCGUCGACCGUAGGGAAGAUGGCGGUCGGUACGCCCGUCCGCCCGCAUUCCCGAGGCGUUUCGAGAAAUGCCUCCGUUGCGAUUAUCGAGACGCACUGAGAGCGUGCACGCUGGGACCCGAAAGAUGGUGAACUAUGCCUGGUCAGGUCGAAGUCAGGGGAAACCCUGAUGGAGGACCGUAGCGAUUCUGACGUGCAAAUCGAUCGUCUGAACUGGGUAUAGGGGCGAAAGACUAAUCGAACUAUCUAAUAGCUGGUUCCAUCCGAAGUUU
rnacentral:rRNA from 2 species